rnacentral:rRNA from 1 species
GACGACCGCUGGCGGCGUGCUUAACACAUGCAAGUCGAACGGAAAGGCCCUGCUUUUGUGGGGUGCUCGAGUGGCGAACGGGUGAGUAACACGUGAGUAACCUGCCCUUGACUUUGGGAUAACUUCAGGAAACUGGGGCUAAUACCGGAUAGGAGCUCCUGCUGCAUGGUGGGGGUUGGAAAGUUUCGGCGGUUGGGGAUGGACUCGCGGCUUAUCAGCUUGUUGGUGGGGUAGUGGCUUACCAAGGCUUUGACGGGUAGCCGGCCUGAGAGGGUGACCGGCCACAUUGGGCCUGAGACACGGCCCAGACUCCUACGGGAGGCAGCAGUGGGGAAUAUUGCACAGUGAGCGGAAGCCUGAUGCAGCAACGCCGCGUGCGGGAUGACGGCCUUCGGGUUGUAAACCGCUUUCGCCUGUGACGAAGCGUGAGUGACGGUAAUGGGUAAAGAAGCACCGGCUAACUACGUG